ensembl:snRNA U6 U6 spliceosomal RNA
CUCAUUUCAAUGAAAACUGUAUGAAAUCUUGAAAAGAGAAGAUUAGCAUAAUUCCUGAUCAAGGAUGACUUGAAAACUUGUGAAGCCUUCCAUUCUUUU